rnacentral:rRNA from 1 species
UCCACGCCGUAAACGAUGAAUACUCGUUGUCUGCAAUAUACAGUAGGCGACUGAGCGAAAGCAUUAAGUAUUCCACCUGGGGAGUACGUUGGCAACAAUGAAACUCAAAGGAAUUGACGGGGGCCCGCACAAGCGAAGGAACAUGUGGUUUAAUUCGAUGAUACGCGAGGAACCUUACCCGGGUUUAAAUGCAGGACGAAACUCUGAGAGAUCGGAGCCUCUUCGGACGGACU